UAUGGGGCAAGCGUUAUCCGGAUUUACUGGGUGUAAAGGGAGCGUAGGCGGCAGGGCAAGCCUGAUGUGAAAGCCCGGGGCUCAACCCCGGGACUGCAUUGGGAACUGCCCUGCUGGAGUGCCGGAGGGGCAGGCGGAAUUCCUAGUGUAGCGGUGAAAUGCGUAGAUAUUAGGAGGAACACCAGUGGCGAAGGCGGCCUGCUGGACGGUUUACUGACGCUGAGGCUCGAAAGCGUGGGGAGCAAA
rnacentral:rRNA from 1 species